rnacentral:rRNA from 1 species
GACGAAGGGGGCUAGCGUUGUUCGGAAUUACUGGGCGUAAAGCGAGUGUAGGUGGUUGUCGAAGGUGGAUGUGAAAGCCUUGAGCUCAACUCAAGAAAUGCAUUCAGGACUGGGUGACUAGAGGACCGGAGAGGAUAGUGGAAUUCCCAGUGUAGUGGUGAAAUACGUAGAGAUUGGGAAGAACACCAGUGGCGAAGGCGGCUAUCUGGACGGUUUCUGACACUAAGACUCGAAAGCGUGGGGAGCAAACAGG